rnacentral:rRNA from 1 species
AGAGUUUGAUCCUGGCUCAGGAUGAACGCUGGCGGCGUGCCUAACACAUGCAAGUCGAGCGAAGCACUUUACUUUGAGAUCUUCGGAAGGAUAAGUUUUGUGACUGAGCGGCGGACGGGUGAGUAACGCGUGGGUAACCUGCCCCAUACAGGGGGAUAACAGUUAGAAAUGACUGCUAAUACCGCAUAAGACCACAGCACCGCAUGGUGCAGGGGUAAAAACUCCGG